rnacentral:lncRNA from 1 species
AAAAAAUUAAAUAAUUAAUUAAUGAUGAAACUAACCGCAGUGAUUACCAAUGCUGUAUUACUUUUUUUAUUUCUCGAAACUCUCUUCGACGGAAACAAAAUUCGUUAUCACUCGGCACGUGACAAUCAAAUUAACAGAUACUUCCCGAAAACACUUGAGAAGAAAUAGAAGGUGUGUUAGUAUCACUUGUCAAGACUAGACCACCGAAGACUGAUGCUACUCGUAGUCUCCUCUCGCGAAGAUAUCGAGGAUACUCUGACUUGGGAUUUUUAUUAUCUUACACUACCCAAGUGGUGGUGUGCGAAUGCCCACACCACUUCUCUUGACGAUCCUCCGGGCUCUGCUCGAGAGAUUGGUAAACUGAGUGAGUUAAAAGAUUGCAAAGUAAGUGAGUGUGUGACAAAGACGAAGAGGAAGAAUAAUAAAAAAAUAAAGUAAUAAUAAAUAAAUUUAUAUAUCUUAUAUAUAUUAUAUUUAAGUAUAUGCACACUUAUGGAUCAAUCUAUCUACUAGUACAAUAUGCAAUAUACUUCAGCGGAUACGUUAUUUUGCGAUGGAUGUGCUAAAAGACUGCCCUUAUAUACGAAGAAGAAGUAACCCCCCAGCAUAGCUACCGGACGCUGGUUUGCUUCUCCACCAAUAGAAUGAUACACGUGGAAACGAUGACCGAGUCUCUGUUGUUUGCUGGUGUGCUGUUUGAACUUCCAACGUCGUCGUCGUUGCCGUUGUCAUUUGCAAUCGCCCACUCUUGAACAGAAUUUCCAUAUCGAGUUUGAUUGGUAUCUUUUUUGUCGGGUAUUUAUAGGAGAUGCAACGGAAAAAUGGAAUUUAAUUUAAGAUCCAAUAAUUAAGCGUGUGUUAAAUUUACCACCGUAGAUCCUUUAAAUUUGUAUUCUUCUUUCGUUAUAGGCAAUAUGUGACACUUGGAAAUAGUGAACCGAGGUCGUCCAGUCUCCUAGUGUCCAUCUCAAAUCACCGUUGAUGAGACUUGGCCGUUAUCUAAUUCUCGUAACAGGGCUAGCAUGAAAACAAGGGACGUCGUUGCCAAUUCUUUUUUUUUUUUUAUUUAUUUUAUCAUAUUACACCUGGGUCAACUAAUAUCACCUUGCGGAUCCAAUAAUUUUCAGGGUAUUGAAUAAACCCAUGGCGCCGAUAUUUUAAUCAAGGUAAACGGCAGUAUAAAUUUAUCUGAAUCGCAUGUUAAAUAGGCUUCUUUUAAAUUAUGCCUUGUAUGAAAUUACUCUAAUUAACUGUCCAUAAGAUACAAGAUCCAGAAUAUAAGAAGAAAGCUAGUUGAACAGAGUGUGAAAAAUAUAUUAGGGCGCUAGAAGCUACACUAGAUCUUCACUUGACCACGUGCGCGACCUUUCAAGAGCAAACCAACGCACACUUGUGCUGUCGUAUGUAUAAAUAAAACAAAUUAAAAAACAAUUGGAGAAUAAAAUGUACGGCGGAAAGUCACGCGAAUUUAAUUAUUAUUUGUCAUUAAUAUUAAUGUGUAUUGCGUAAUAGAUAAACUGGUUCUUUUUUUGGAAAUACCAAAAGUGUAAUACCGCCAAUUGAGACACACCUUAAAAAUACAUCACAUGCACAGAUGUAUUUUUACCGGUGCAGAAGAAAGCGGCAUGUGUAAUUUUCAAUGAGGAAAAAGGAAAUCCGUUUUAUUGAAAUAGUUAGACAUAAACUUUUAUUGAAGAAAUUUAAUCUUUGAUUAUUUG